rnacentral:rRNA from 1 species
GUCGAACGCUGGCGGCGUGCCUAAUACAUGCAAGUCGAACGCAGUGGGGACGGUUGAGUAACACGUGGGUAACCUCCCAUCAGAGGGGAUAACACUUGGAAACAGGUGCUAAACCGAUACUGAUGGAUGGACCCGCGGUGCAUUAGCUAGUUGGUGAGGUAACGCCUCACCAAGGCCACGAUGCUUAGCCGACCUGAGAGGGUGAUCGGCCACACUGGGACUGAGACACGGCCCAGACUCCUACGGGAGGCAGCAGUAGGGAAUCUUGGGCAAUGGACGAAAGCCUGACCUAGCAACGCCGCGUGAGUGAAGAAGGUUUUCGGAUCGUAAAGCUCUUUUGUUAGAGAGGCGGUAUCUAACCAGAAAGCCACGGCUAACUACGUGCCAGCAGCCGCGGUAAUUC